UGGAGAAUCCUGGGCCCCAGAGUGUCUUUGACACAAGUUGCGCCCGAAGCCAUCCGGUUGAGGGCACGUCUGCCUGGGCGUCA
rnacentral:rRNA from 1 species